UCGAAUUCAAUUUGGUUCGUCUGCUAGAGCCCAUCAUACUACCAACUAUCAAUUUUCAUAUGAAGCUGAUAAAAUCUGGCCAAAAAGCUGAUAAAAUCGGGGGUAGCUAAAAUCGGAGGCAGAUAAAAUCGGGUCUUCACUGUAGUGGCCCCUACAUGCACAACACUUUAAUCAAUAUAAUAGUGUAAUGCAAAAGAAAAUGGAAUGAUAAAAUUAUCCAACCGAAGCUACACUAUAAGAUUUGGACAACAAACUGGUCGGUAAUCUACCCAGUAGUGGAACAAUUUUGCUACUAAACUUCCCGCGCAGCACUAAAUAUUGUGAUUCGAUUAUCACAAUGAAGCGCGUCCCGCAAAUAUUAAACGUGGAACAAUAUAUAGGCAACGAAAAUACAGCGAGACUUUUUUCUUUCUGUCAGUAUACUUCUCGUUCGAUUAGAGAGCGAUGAAGAAGGCACAAAAAGCGCAUGCGCAACCAUAUAUGGUUGACGAAAAUCCAGGGAGUGUUUUCUAAGAAAUUUUUUAGAUAUUAUUGUUUACACGAAAGGUCUGCAAGCCAUCGUUAGAUAAUCUAUUGCUUCAACAACUAAAUAAAGCAAAUCUAAAGUCACAAAAAAUACAAAAAUCUAACGAGAAGUUAAAAAAACUGAAAAUGUUAUAAGAAUCCAGCUAUAUGAAAUAAGCAUUCGGAUGACGUAUGAGUACGGAAAUUGUAAAAUUCAUACAUCCCUUGAAUAUUUCACUUCUUUCUAAUAAUUUCAAACAUAAAAAUAAUUUGAAAAAACUUUAUACUUUCUACAAAACACUUUAAGAAAUAGCUCUUAAGAAUGGGGCAAAAUGAUCACUACGCAGACUUCUAUGAUUCUAUGCAUUAAAUUCGAAACAACUUAUCUUUAUGUGAAUGUUUGAUACCUGAAGCUACUACAAACGAUGAAAAAUAAUAUUUGCUCGCGAAAAGUACUCGCAAAGAUACCAAACAUACCGAAUUCCUUGACAUAAAGCCUUAACGAGAGGUAAAUAUCGUAUCCAUCCCAAAAAAUGAGUACCAAGAAAAAAUGAGUUUCGUGCAUUCAAGGGUUAACAAAGUGGAUUUUUGAAUCUAAUGGUGCCGAAAAGGCGAUUAAAGACCGAUACCAUGAAAUUAAUAAGAAUACUAUGUCACGAAAUCAAUAAUAAAUAAGAUCCUUAGUAAAAUAAGUGAAAUGAAUUUAAACUUUUCUUUUAAAAUAUGACAUUGGUGCGAAAUGAACAUUUUGUCUGUUAAGAUUGAUCAUAUUACCCCAUAAGAUAAAAUCACUCGCCAUGAGUCGACGAUUACGUACAUAUUGAAUUUUUUUCAGCGCAUUUGAAAUUGGAAUAUGAUUAUUAAUCCUUUUAAGACAGAUGUCUUCCGUUUAAUUCCACUUUAUUAAUAAUAAUGAGAAACUGUUGCUUUUCACCAUCAAUCAGUAUUUCAACUAUUACGUAGUCUUCUUCAGUGUUCAUAUCAUAUUGGAAUAUGAAGAAUAUUUUGCAUUCUACCAACAGAGAACAUGUUGGAAUUAUUUUCUUAGUUUUGCUACAGAUACAUUAGCAGUCAGCUUUAGGGUGCUCCUGCUCAUAUUGCCUCUCUUUUCCCUACCACCUGCACCGUCUGAACGGAAACUCGCAUGCUUCUCGUUUGAUUAGCGAGUGACGAACGAGGAACAAAAAUAUAUGAAUGACUUAUAUAACUUCCCAAUGCUCAAUUAGGUCCCUUAGACACAUUGACGACUCUGUCUGAAAUAGACUGGCUCGUGGCCGUAUGGAAACAAUGAUAAAGAAUCUUUGUUAGCGAGUACAGUAUUUUUUGAGAUCAUUUUGUAGUCCCAAAUGACAGUGCAAAUAAUAGAAACGUUUGGCCGCUCUACAUACUUGCGCUUUGCGAUUAAAGAUAGUAUAGGUAAUUCUGAUUCCGCGUCGCUUCCGAAGGAUUUGCUGAAAAUCAGUUUUUGCACUGUUUGAAGAAAUUGCACAUACUACGAAAUUAAAAAAAUAGUAUGCAUUUUUCCAGCUGAUUUUUGCAAAAACGGUGUAAAUCCGUUCAGUACAAUGAAAGUUACUACCAAAUAAAAACCUUACACCUUUUGUUUUACACCAUAUUUCAAAAAAAGGUACCCUAUAUUGAAAGAUUAGUCAUAGUCUCAUCAAAAAAAGACACCUUCAAGCCACAUAUCGUGUCGUAUCAAAUAACAGUCGGUUAUUUGAUCACGUAUUAUAUAAUUUUAUUGAGCAUUAUCGUGUUCGCCACGGCGCUCCUCGAUGUGGAGGUGGUUGGACAUGUGUGACUUUGCGUGACUGAACAAUUUUUUUUUCGAGCACAAUGAAUGUAUAAAUAAAUCUGAACAAUACAAAAAAAUCCAUUGUUACCUUGCAUUCAAAAUCGUAAACCAAAAUAACCUUCGAGUUGAGCACUUUAUACCAGACGCCCCCCUUAAGGCCAAUUGCAGCGGAUCGUGAGUAAAUCCGACUCAUUGAUAUUGAGUGUACGGUGUAGAUGUGAAGAUGUAGGGACAUGACGAUCACGUGGGAAUGAGCGUUUAGUCGCCUUUCAGAUCGCGUUAAUCAGAUUAUAAGUACUAUAGCGUUCAUUAAGUCAUCAGGGGUUUUUGUUUGUUGAGAAAACUUGAGAGUAGUUGACUGUAGAUCACGAUAGCAUGCUCGUCUUUGUGUAUCGUCGCGAAGGGCUUGAGCGUUUAUCGGUUAACGUUGUAUGUCGCUUGUGCUACCGUGUAUAAAUUCGACUUUAUAACCGUGUUUUGCCAUUCGCAAAUUUGCGUGUGUUCUUGGAUGAUCGCACGUACUGUCAAUCUGAAUUAGAGAUGGGCGAGUGAAUCGCGAAUCAAUCAAAAGAAUCGACUCUUCGAAAAGAGUGAAUGAACCGCGAUUCUUUUUUAAAGAACUGCGAUUCACUGAAGGAGUGACAAUUUAUUAUAAACUCAACGAGAACCAAAAAGAACCGAAUGAGUUUGCCAUGACUAUGAAUCACUCUAAAAUAAACUAACACGAUGACCACAUGAGCUCUGUUUGUCGUACACGGAAUAAAAUAUCAACUCAUAACUAAUUUAAAUUUAAUAAUAGUUGUAAUUUCAAGAGAGAAACCAAUCUUGAAAAUGGCAAAAAUAUUGGGGGAAAAUAGCAAUUUUUAGUUUAGUGAGUACAAAACUGUCUAAAUUGAAAAACUAUCUCGAAAAUUCAACGUAGAGAUAAGAUAUUUUAUACAAAGGUGUAUGUAAAGUUGGAAAUAAAUCGGUUAAGUAGUUUUUGAAUGACAGUGAUACCGCAAAUCGUGUUUUUCCAGAGACAUUCUACAAAAAGUUUCGUCGCUGAGCCGCUUGUCGAUAAAUAGCGAUUAUUAAAAUGAUACAAUAUAAUGUACCAAAGUUUUGAUCCAUUCGCUUCACCCAAAUUUCUAAAAAAAAUCGCAAAGUGUUUUUCACGCUGAAAAACGCACCCCCGUACCCAUCUUGCCUUAACGCCUAAUAAAUAUAUUAUUCCCAUUUUUCUCAAACAUUUUUCAAAGUACUGAAAUGAAUCACUAAAUCGAUCAAAAGAGUCGAUUUAGUUUAGUAAGUGAAUCGGGCACGAUUUGCUCUCCAAACUGAAUCGGUCUGCCCAUCUCUAAAUCUGAUGAUUAAUUUGGGUGUAUGGGUCAGAUACUAGAAUAGAAUGAGUUUCCCAUAUCACCAUCAAGUUCAUUCAAUCGCAGGGGCACUUUUGUGUUUAAAAAGAUCUCGGUUGUUGGUUUGUGGGGAUAAUCGUCAAUUUUCGCCUUUGUUGUAUUAUCGCGUAAAGCUCGAGCGAUUAUAUGUUUACUUUGCGUGUUUAAAUUCGUUUGUAUAACAGAUUGAUAUUAUCGCGAUGGGCACACGCGAUUUUAGUUUAUGCUGUUUGAUCAUGUGGAUGCUUGUGUGUUGAGGGGGCGUAUGGUGUAAAGUGCUCAUAACGAAAGUUAUUUUGUUUUACGAUUUUGAAGACAAGUGAACAUUUAAUCUUUUGUGUAAUGUUAGGGUCGCUUUAUACAUUCAUUGUGUGCGAAAAAAAUAUAUUUUCAGUCACACAGAGCCACAAAUACGAGCGUUCCAAGAGUAGACGUCCAACCAUUUCCAAGUCGAGGAGCGCCGUGGCGAAUACGAUAACUCUCGAUAAAAUUGUCUGAUACGGGAAAUUUGAAUAAGAUUUGUAAAGCUUAGACUUGUAGGUAGUCGAUGAACCACAGAAAAAAGCUUGGAGUUUUGGAAAAUGGCUUCAUGAAAACCGAAAAAUCUCAUAUUUUACUGUAACAUUCGCUCAAAAUAAUUGGAAAAAAAAUUCAUUCAGUUUUUUGUGGUUCAUUGGGCAUCCUCCUAAAAAAAUCAAAGUCAAUUCAUUGAUUAGUUUUCGAGGUAUCGUGUUCGCCCAAUUUGAAAAACGCGGUUUUGAGAAAAACGCUAUUAGAGGGUGUUCCACAUCAAAUUGCAUCACAGAAAAAAAACGCUGUAGAAAAUGACCCAUUGGGUAUUUUCUCUUAAAACACUGUGUAGAAGCAGUUUGUUUAGUGUAUUGUUUACACUGUAUUGUAAUAACUGUCAAUUUUUCGAAAAUUGUUGCCGAUAGAUUGAAAUUUGCCUGUGUUAUAGCAAAUACGCGCAUGGAUUGCAUGGUUGUUUAAAACAAAAGAAGCUCAGCGUGGCAACAGAGAUUGCAGGAGACCUUUCUAGAGGUUCAACACUAACAAUUAAGCGGAUAAAAAAGAAGUCGACUAUUUUUGCCCUCUACACCAGACGCCCCCUUAAGAACUUUGUGUUUUUGGUUUUGUUUAUAUUUAUUUGCUUGGUUUAUGUGUAAUUGUUUGCUUAUUGCUUGAACUGUUGAAUGAUCGACCGGGCCGUCGUUCUGAGAAAGUGAGCUCCCCGUUCUCACUGAAGUGCCCAGUCAUGGUGACCUGAAACUUGUUGUCUAGUGUAUAUAAGUUCCGUAUUUUAGAGUGGGAGCGAGCGGAUAACAAUAAUUAAUGAUUUCGUAAGAGCGGUCUUUUGUAUGCUGGAGCUUGUGACAGCGUUUAUAAAUUCGUAAGCGCUAAUACGAUGACUUCAUUAUCGGGCAGAUUCCAUGAUAGCGACGCGGGUGUAUGUAUGCAUGACUGAUCACGUUUAUGACUGGAUUUGUAUUGUCGUGAAGGACACGAACAUUUGUAUGUUAUUGUGAGCAUUCUUUCUAUCGCGUGGGGUUUAUAUGUCGCGUAUUCUUGCAGGUUUGAAAUUUCGCGUACACUAAUGCGUUUCUAUAACCAUGUGGUCGUUUACUAUGUGCUUUUGAGUGUCGCCGAGAAAGAUACCGCAAAGGAAGAAACAACACAAUAAUUAGACAAACAUUCAGUAAAAGUAAGAUAGACGUACAACUCGUAUACAACAAUAUAUUAGAGAAAGACAUUAGAUAUAGUGACAAUUAAGAGCAGUGCGGCAAAAAAAUAGAUGAAACAAAAUAUGAGAAAGGCAAAACAUACAGCACAUAAGAAGAAAAUUAGUUAUCCGAACACCACAGAAAUAGUACAAACAUUAACCAAGCAUGCAACCAAAGAAGCGAAAGACCCAAUAAGCCCUCCUGGCCUGCUCGAUGCACAACUAGCGAUGCGCAUUGCAAUGCAAAUUUUAAAACAAUUUUCUAUUAGAGGUCAAUGUGAAAAGCUACAAUUAGGGGGAUCCGGGCUACUAAGACAGUGGGGGUAAUUCUAACCCCCUCGAUUUCUCAGAAAAUCGUAAGACUUUCUGAUUGUCAUACAUAUUCAUGGGAGCGCUAUUCUAAAACAUUAAUUUCGACAACUGAAUCUCAUUCUUUAGUUUUUUUAGAAAGGAUAUACAACGUGUUUAAUUUUUUUUGCCAUCCUGAAAAAAAAACUUUAUAAUGGUAAAACCGUGAUUAAAGUAGCAAAUAAAAGUGGAAAAAAUAACACGUAAGUGUUUUGGAAAGCUUCAGGCACCUAUUUUACGGAAAGAUAUUUGUUUGGGUGAAAACACAGAUUUUUUCAAGACACUCACCGCUUUUGUGCGAAAUGAGCGUACGGGGCUUUCCGGACCUCCUAAUCCAUCAACCACCGUUCAGCGGCUUGCGGCAAUCGAAAUAAUAUAACAUUAUGAUUAAUUAGUUGAAUAAGGGCUCAUCUACCCUACCUAUCGAGAUUAUUCAGUAUUCUUAUUUGUAACAGUGGUGAAAGAUGAAAAAAAGCAAAACAAAAUUUUAACUCCGGUUAAUAGACCUUGUUACAGCGCUAAUGUUUACAUGAAACAAACAGUCAGGCAACACUUCCUCGCAUUCGAUUCUUUUCCCUAUACUAGCAGCGACUCCUUUGCCACCGUUGCUCGUGCGUCGUCAAAAGAUGCCUAAAAGAACGCAAGAAGAAGGAUUACAUCUUUUCGCCAGCAAGGAUAUUCUUUGUAGCGUGCGCGCAUACUCCCGGGUUGGGUUUAUACACGCGGCGCUAUACCCCCGGAAGCAAUAUGCGCUACACGGUACGCGACCAGUCCUGUGUUUGUGUGAGUAGGCAGCUACAUCCAAUCGCAGGAUUUUAUUCGGCGUAAUGUGAAAAGGGUGCAAAAAAUGUUCCAAAGAGGAUAGGGUGUGGGGCAUGAAGGGAUGUUUUUUAUCGCUAUCGCAAGUGCGAAGAGUCUUAUUUGCUGCCGGGAUUCGCACAAGGGAUGAAAAAACGAACCCCCCCCCCCCUUCGACUGCGGGUUGGCGCUUAUAUACUUCAGUGGGCCAACACUAAGAAAGGUUCUAUUUUUGCAAUUUCAUGCCGAAAUCUUCACGGUAUUGGUUAGAAAUUUUUCGAUUCAUUUUUCCACCGAAGACGCUCUGUUUCUUGAAGAAACACUUUUUAUGUGAUGGUGGUUUCUUUCGAAGACGGAGGAAAAUCACUGUUUUUCUUCGGUUUGAUUACUUGUGUGUGCGAAUUUGGUUCGGCCUUACUGGAUGAGGCGUAAUUUUUGACAUGAAACCGUAAGGGGUGUUAUUAGGCAAGCGAGUCCAACCGUAAACGGACGCAUUUUAAAACAGGAUUUUUGUGGCUCGCUGGGCACAUUAGUAAGCGAAAAAAAAACCAACGGUCAAAUUCAGCCGUUAGUUCGCGCCAAACCCACAAUGGUGGCCACCUGCUGGAAAACGGUUAAAUACAAAGUGAUGGCAAUCUACGUGUCCGCCAAGAGUUCAAUUCGGUUCCCGGAGAACAACCGCUGCUCGGUGGACGAGCUUUUCUCGACUCAAUUACAGCUGGCUCACCCGGAUGAUGGUUCUUCUGGUGGUGGUCAGUGGCAGGGUCAGAAUCCAACUGUUGAUAGCCACCAGACAGUGGCUGGCAGGGAUGAACCGGUCUGUUGCAACAAUGAUGACGAUGGCGAUGAUGAUGAUGAUGAUGGUGGCGAUGACUAUUGUCGUCCAGCUGGUGGCAAUAACCGUCCGAAGCUAGUUGGCGAUGAGUUGGGCAGAUUUAGUACUGUCCGCACAACUGGUUAGUGAGGAUGUGUGUAAUACAGGUGCUGGAUUGUUGGCGCAGUGCGCGGUUCCUGGGGUUCCGUGGAUUUUGGAGUGGAAUGGAUUUUGUUUUUACCUGAAUGGGAAUAUGAAUCUGUGAAGUAUAAAAAAUGGAAAGAAUAAUGAUGUUUUGACAUAUCAUACUCAACCAGUGUAAAACAAUAACAUAUAUUAAAUAGCAGUAGGUUAAGGCACAUUUUCAAUCGUGGCUGUAAAAACAGUAGCUGUCAAACCAGUGGAAGAGUGUGGUAAAUGUCCUGAAGACAUGACAAAGACAAAACUCCACGAAAAUAUCGAUAGUUGUGGUAAUUUAAUUGCAUUAUUAGUGUACUAUUUUGUUGACGAAAGUGUCGACUUGAUAUUUUCAUACUACACGUUUAUUAGACAGGUUUCUUUGCUAAAUCUUUGCUGUUAUGAGUUUAAAGUUUUUACAAGUUCAUUCAAUGAAAUUCUUAGAACUAACACAUGUACCAUAAUUUAGUGGUUUUCUUAAACAAUGAAAGAUUCUGCAAAUUGGGUUAAAAACAAAUUGCUUUAGGGCAAACGGAAAGUGAAGCAUUCAAGUUGACCAUCAAUCACUUUUGAGGAGUAAUAAAUAAGGGGCGUGCAGGGAAUGAUACGGUUAAAUUAUGUUAAGAUUGACCAAACUGGAACAUUAAGUGGUCUUUUAAAUGAUGUGAGAAACUUGUUUUCAUUGUAUUUUAGUUUAUUUAGAUUGGCCCAAAUCUAAAUUCGCGUCAACAAUUACAACAAACUGAAAAAUAAUAAUAAUAUGUCGUUAGGACUGUUGGCAAAUUUGGAAAAAGUUACCAGGUAAUUAGAUAAUUUGGCUUACAUUCCAUAACCAGAAACAUUUAGGAAGAAAAUCAGAAUGAAUAAAACAAAAUGAACCAAAAAUUAAAACAAAUUGAAGUUCUACAGAAAAAAAUGUAAAUUUUUGAUACGACAUCAUUCCGACCAAUAUCGAUUGAAUUUGAAGCAGACUCAGAACGAACAGGAUCAGUAUCGGUACACACUACACAGUGGAAAGCAAACUAAAGCUUUGGCACUAUAUUCUGGAACUUGACCUUUUAUUUCGACAGACUUUUCGUGUACAAGACAGUUAAUUACCUUAGUUUCUAGUGAAUUGCAUCUUCCGUUUUUUAUUAUUUUUGUAGCAAAGCCUCUAAUAAUAGCUCUGCCAAUUUAGAAUCAGUGCGCUAUCAGGACCAGUCUUCCUAGUAGUCGUUUCCAAAAUUUUUGGAAAAUUGUUUACAAAAUAUUUCUAUUGAAAUCAUGUGCAGGUGAAAUAAGUUCAUGUCUUCUCGAAUUGCCAAAAAAAAAAGAUUGAAAAAAGGAGAAAAUUAAUUCUGCACAAAAGAAAUGAAAACCCAACAUAGUCGGGUAUGAGGACCGCAAAGGUGUUGAAAAUUACCAAAACCGCCAUAUGUUGAGUGCAGAAAUGUUCCCAGAAAGGUGCCAUCAAGGCGUCGAAGCGAUACAGUGGACCAGAAACUGCGUCAAGGCGUCACACAGUGGCACCUGUUCAUAUAAAGUUGGGACAAAAUUAUAAAAAUUGGUUCAUGUGGCAAAAAAUCGGGUUUUUAACUAAUUUUGGGUAGCUGAAUCCAUUUCUGCUAUCAGUUUUAAGAUUCCAUAAUUCUUUUUUCGACUAUUUUUAUAUAAACCUGUUUAAAGGCAUUGGACAUUAAAGAGUUAAUAUACAAGUUAAUAUUAGUAGUCAAUCACAUCGGAUAGCAGAAAUGGUUGACAAAACUAGUAAAAAUCACUAAUUUUUUCAGCAAUAUGAUGUUCUUUAGGCAACCAAUUAGUAAGAAGAUUUAUGAGCUACAGGGCGUCUUCAUAUGAGUAUUUUCAAAAAUAUAGACCUAACAACUUCGGCGCAAAAAUGCGCAAGAUGAGGCCAUUAUAUCUUGAAACUACACUAAAUUUUGAGUCAGAUUGAUGAUAAGUGACCCAUGGGAGACCAUCUCAAAAAUUGGAAGACGUGUAAGUUAAAUUACUGAUAUGACACAAAAUUUCUAAAUUGUUUUUCCUUGAUACAGAAUAAACGUGAAUCAAUUUUACACAAAAAGCUCACAUCACAUAAUUUAGCAUAUUCAGUCUUCUUUCCAAAAAACUCAAAACUACUCGGCCGUGUGGUUCUUGAGAUAUCGUCAUUUGAAGUUCGAAGGUACGAACAAUUCUAAUGAAUUGAAUUGAACAGAAAUCCUCGACAUCACCUGCUUCAAAGACAUGUGAAGAAUUCAGUUUUCAUCCAAUUAUGGUAAAAUUUUGAGGUACUUUUAUUCAAACUGGGAGAAAAAUAAAAUAAAUAUUUACAAAAGAAUUACAAGACAUUCAUUUUUGGGGUCUUGUCACUCGUCGUGUCACUGUGCGUCAUGAAGGAUACAAAACUUUUUUCGUUUUAAAGUUAUAAGAACUUUAACAUAAAAUAUGGCUUUUUUCCAUAUAUUAGGGCACUUAACAUUAAAUACCGUUACUGCCAUGUGAAAUAUCAUGCUUUGUAGUAUAGAUCACCAAACAUGACAAAUUUCAUAUUUUUUACGUUUUGCAACGGAUACUCAAAAAAUAGUUUAUUUUUAGUAAGUAAUUUGUUUUAAAGAAAGUUUAGUAUAUUGAGCCAAACUGUUUUAUCUGAAAAUAUUUGUUAGGCUGACUUUAAAUAUAAAUUUUUGAAGUCAGCCUAACAAAAAAUCUAAACUGGAAAAGUUAUAAAUAAAGCCAUGUAUCAAGAAACACCUUAUUUUUUGUAAAUUUCUUGUAAAAUGAACAGUAAAAUAAAUAGAGCUUCAAGUCUUCAACAAUGUUUAAUAAUAACAUUUCUUAAUUUUUUUUUGAAAAACUGCGAAACUAUCUCGAAUCAUUUAAAAAAAUAUUUUUCUGAUUUUAAUAAGUUUAGAACCACCCUACCCCCAAUUUGAAAUAAAAGAAAUGUUUUGAAAAAUGAAAAAAAAAAUCUUCGUCAGAAUGAAAAUUUUAUAGUGUCCACCGUGAAAGUAAUUUAAACAUACUUCCAAGGUUCAAUUAGUGAAAAAUCAAAUUGUUAUUAUAUCUUUACAAUUUUCUCUUUUUUGCUAACAUAUUCUUUAGACAAUUUUCAGAGUUUUGGAAGACGCGCAUUUUCUUCUAAGACAUUAAAAUUCUACCUUGUAUUAUUAAAAACAUAUAAGUAGAGUAUAAUGGGGUCAAAAAGGUUUAAAAACACAUUAUCUUUUGUCCUCAGUACAGUACAUUUAAUCAACGUAAAAAAAUGCCAAGUGAGUUUUUUCUUAUGUAAAACUUAAUUCUGAACACGAGUUUCGUGUUGGUUUUUCGAUAUUUCUGCUUUUGAAAAAAAUACGGACAUAAGCCGGAAACAUUCGCUUGGGGGCACAAUAGGUCAGCAAUUUAGGGUCACUACUAUAUUGUAAAUUAGAAUUAUUUGUCAGGAAAAUUGCGUGUAAAUUCAUGCAAAAAACACCAAAGCGAAGUGAAGAGGACAUAAACAACACAAUGCAUCUGUUCAAGAUGGCGCCAGUAUUCGAUAAGCCUCUAAACAAUUCAAGAUUCCGUUGAAAACAUUACUUGACAGAGUACACAGAGUCAGCUGGUUGAAAUCUGUUCAGCCCGAAUUCUGAGGUAGAAGAAUAAGCAUUUCGAGCAUUUCGAUAUGAAAAUCGACGUGGACACGAUCGAAACGGCGAAAUUUGGAUAGACAAAUGACAAUUGCUUGGUGCAAAACAAGACAUUGAACCACAGAACACACAUUAUCGAAACCUUGAAAAAGGUCCCAAACGGACCGAAACGUCGGAUAAAAACAAAAUAGUGUUUUUGUAAACCGCAGACUGCAUAGCCGAAACACAUAACCUUAUAGUUAUUACAGUCGACUCCCAUCCAAAAGUUUAGAGACACUACCACAAUUGAAACAAUCAUUAUGCAACCAGAAAACAGGCAAGAAUGAGCAGUGCAGCCAAACUAAAAAAUAAAUUUGAAAAUAUGUUGUGUGAAAUUUUAAGUGCAAGUAAUCAAUUAUUUCAAGUUAUUCAACUGAUUACUGAUGGCAGAAUUUUUAAUGUCUAUAAAAGUACGCUGUACAAGAUCGUCUAGUCGUACCACUCUUGUGUCGUCGUGGUCUAUAUCUUUUCAAAACGAAUCCUCUAGAGUGCAAAAGCAUCUGUUUUUUGCUUUCGAGCAGUAAGCGAAACGCUCUCAAAUGAAUGAACGCUGCUACAAUGAUGAGAAGUUUAUCUAGCUCAUUCGAAUAUCUGGUAGUUAUGUGUAAAGCGGCAUUUUGAGCGAGUCGUAUUUUGUCGAUUCUAGUCCAGAUGCUCGACUUUUAGUCAUUUUGUUUCUAGUGUGUCUCAGCUCUCAACACAGUAUUUAGACUUAACAGAUUGGCUCAAAAUAGUAACAGACAUUUCUGGUGGAACAGAAUAUCGAAUCAGUAUUAAAAAAUAAGUUAUUCUUCAGGGAAUCUCACGGAACCUUUAAAUUUCACAUCUUGUAGCUGAAAUUACAUUACUGUUACCAAAGAUGUUUGCAUUGGCCUCGUAAUUGUAAUUCACGAAAAGGAACCAAUGCGAUGUCUCUCGAAAUAGAAAGUCAAGCUUCUAAAAGAAUUAAAGUAUGCACUUUUUUAGGAACAUAUUGAUAACAAGGAAGUUUUUAUUAUUUCAACCGAUUUUUGUAUAAUAAAACUUCAAAGGACUAAACAAUGCAUAUAUAUAACAUUUAUUUAAGUGGACUAAACUAGUCAUUAUCUUUAGAUUUAUUCGAAAAAUUAAUUUUGUUUCGUUAAAAUAUUCUCAUAUUUACUGCACUAUUUCACCUGAUAAAUGUAUGAAAACUAUUCAAAGCAGCGCAAUUUGCUCUCUGCUAACAUUCGAAAAGUGCUCAAAAUCAAAUAAUAUCAACUAAAAAAUCUAUUAUCUACAGUUCGUAAUGACUUGCGCAGUCAGAAUGCAGAAAUUUAACUAGUCCAGCCAUGUUUUAACGAAAAAUUUCAAACAAGAUAAGAGAGUCUGUCGUGUGUAGCAGCAACAACAACUACGAAAACAAUUUGAACAACAAACUACCAACCGUGUAAAGUACUUCUAUGCAAUAAAAAUAAAAUGUCUAGUGAACUAAUAAUGAAUAGUAAUUAAGCAACAAUAAUCAUUACAAUUAAUCAGAAAAUAGAUAUAUAAGUGCAAUAAUAAUACUUCAGUUACAUCGAUUAUUCUCCACCGCCCAUCGUUGAGGGGUUACUAGAGGGACCACUUCACUCUCGGACCCUUGCGCUGGGUGGUAAAUAUAGCAUCGGCAAAAUGUUCCUUGUAAAAUUACGUGAAACGAAACAUCGGAUACAGAUUGUGUGAAGAGUAGAGUACUUAACAUAGAAAAAAAACGAACAGAAAAUGUUGACAUGCAAGACAGUGGUAUAUUGUAUGAGAGAGGGAGGGCAUACGCAUCACGAUGAAUAUUGGAACUAAGCUGUAGGUAUAUAUGUAAGAAAUAUUAUUACAAGCAAAACAAAUAUAUCAAAAGUAAAUGUAUCUAGUGAAGUGAAAAUCACAAAAGUAUUACGCACCACAUGUAUUAUUAAUUUAGUGUCUAACAAAAUCGUUGAAAUAAAUAUUCAUGCAUCAAGUCCCAGAUUCAA